AUUGAACGCUGGCGGCAUGCUUUACACAUGCAAGUCGAACGGUAACAGGCCUUCGGGUGCUGACGAGUGGUGAACGGGUGAGUAAUGCAUCGGAACGUGCCCAGAGGUGGGGGAUAACGCAGCGAAAGCUGUGCUAAUACCGCAUGUGAUCUGAGGAUGAAAGCGGGGGACCAGGCAGCAAUGUUUGGCCUCGCGCCUUUGGAGCGGCCGAUGUCAGAUUAGGUAGUUGGUGGGGUAAAGGCCUACCAAGCCGACGAUCUGUAGCUGGUCUGAGAGGACGACCAGCCACACUGGGACUGAGACACGGCCCAGACUCCUACGGGAGGCAGCAGUGGGGAAUUUUGGACAAUGGGCGCAAGCCUGAUCCAGCAAUGCCGCGUGCGGGAAGAAGGCCUUCGGGUUGUAAACCGCUUUUGUACGGAACGAAAAGGCUCUGGCUAAUACCUGGGGCUGAUGACGGUACCGUAAGAAUAAGCACCGGCUAACUACGUG
rnacentral:rRNA from 1 species